GGCGAGAUGGCCGAGCGGUCUAAGGCGCCAGACUAAGGAGCAGGUUCUGGCCUUGUCCGAAGAUUAUCUGGUCCGAAAGGGCGUGGGUUCGAAUCCCACUCUCGUCA